rnacentral:rRNA from 1 species
GCACAAGCAGCGGAGCGUGUGGUUUAAUUCGAGGCUACGCGAAGAACCUUACCUGGGUUUGACAUAUGGGUGGUAGGGAACCGAAAGGGGACCGACCUUCGGGAGCCCAUACAGGUGCUGCAUGGCUGUCGUCAGCUCGUGCCGUGAGGUGUUCGGUUAAGUCCGGUAACGAGCGCAACCCUCGUCGUCAGUUACAGGUGUCUGACGAGACUGCCCGUGAUAAGCGGGAGGAAGGUGGGGAUGACGUCAAGUCAGCAUGGCCUUUAUAUCCAGGGCUACACACACGCUACAAUGGCCGGUACAAUGGGUCGCCAACCCGCGAGGGGGAGCCAAUCCAAUAAAGCCGGUCUCAGUUCGGAUUGCAGGCUGCAACCCGCCUGCAUGAAGUCGGAGUUGCUAGUAACCGCGCGUCAGCACAGUGCGGUGAAUACGUUCCCGGGCCUU